GACGAACGCUGGCGGCAGGCCUAACACAUGCAAGUCGAGCGGACCUUUCGGGGUCAGCGGCGGACGGGUGAGUAACGCGUGGGAAUAUGCCCUUCUCUACGGAAUAGUCCUGGGAAACUGGGGGUAAUACCGUAUACGCCCUUUGGGGGAAAGUUUUAUCGGGGAAGGAUUACCCCGCGUUGGAUUAGGUAGUUGUUGGGGUAUUGGCCUACCAAGCCGACGUUCCAUAGCUGGUUUGAGAGGAUGAUCAGCCACACUGGGACUGAGACACGGCCCAGACUCCUACGGGAGGCAGCAGUGGGGAAUCUUAGACAAUGGGGGCAACCCUGAUCUAGCCAUGCCGCGUGAGUGAUGAAGGCCUUAGGGUUGUAAAGCUCUUUCAGCUGGGAAGAUAAUGACGGUACCAGCAGAAGAAGCCCCGGCUAACUCCGUG
rnacentral:rRNA from 1 species